rnacentral:rRNA from 1 species
GAUGAACGCUGGCGGCGUGCCUAAUACAUGCAAGUCGAGCGAACAGACGAGGAGCUUGCUCCUCCGACGUUAGCGGCGGACGGGCGAGUAACACGUGGAUAACCUACCUAUAAGACUGGGAUAACUUCGGGAAACCGGAGCUAAUACCGGAUAAUAUAUUGAACCGCAUGGUUCAAUAGUGAAAGACGGUUUUGCUGUCACUUAUAGAUGGAUCCGCGCCGCAUUAGCUAGUUGGUAAGGUAACGGCUUACCAAGGCGACGAUGCGUAGCCGACCUGAGAGGGUGAUCGGCCACACUGGAACUGAGACACGGUCCAGACUCCUACGGGAGGCAGCAGUAGGGAAUCUUCCGCAAUGGGCGAAAGCCUGACGGAGCAACGCCGCGUGAGUGAUGAAGGUCUUCGGAUCGUAAAACUCUGUUAUUAGGGAAGAACAAAUGUGUAAGUAACUAUGCACGUCUUGACGGUACCUAAUCAGAAAGCCACGGCUAACUACGUG